UUUUUAUUAUUUUUAAUAUCUUUUUAGUUAAUUCAUUUUGAUACACUUUUGCUAUUUCUUUUUAAAAUAUUUCGAUACAUUUCAUUUUAUCAAGAAAAUACUUUGAAGAAAGAAUGAUGUUAAUACUUAGUUUUCUUUGUCAAAUUUAGUCACAUUUAUCCACUUUAGCUUAUAAUUAAUCAUUGGCUUUUAGGUUAAUUUUCUUUUUUAGAAAAUGAUACACAUGUUCAUAGUAAUUUUAGAUAAAUUGUAGAAAUUAAGCAUGAUAGUGCUUUG
rnacentral:lncRNA from 1 species